AGUUCCUCUUGAUGUUUUGCGAACAGAGGUAGCUCAGGUGAUCAAACAAAAGUACCCAGAUGUUUUGGAAGUUCAUAUUGCCAAAUGUGUCUCUAGCAAGGGUUUGAAAUUCCGAAAUGGUAUGAUCCUGGCACAUGAAAUGACAAGUGGCCUCCCUGAAUUUGGAGAAAUUGUCCAGAUUUGUAUUGUUAAAAAGAAUUUGUGCUUCAUCAUGAGACGACUGUGUGGCUGCUACAGGGAGCACUUUAGGGCAUUUGAGCUAAGUGUCUCACCAACAAGAGAAGUGUUCUUUGUAGAACAUGUUGCUUUAGCUGACGAUUAUCCAUUGGUUGAUUAUAUGGUUGGUCCUUUGCGUUUAGUGACUUUGAAAAGACAAGUCCACGAAUAGAUGGUAAUAUAUGCUUUCAUUUUCUUAUUUAAAAAAUGUACACUUAAAGAUAAUGUUUUAUAACCAUUGUAUAUUUAAUUUAUUACCAUACUCACAAUUAACUUCACAAACUAACUAUGUUUCUUCGAUUUUUACAGUCCUAACACAAUGACUUCUCCAGUCCGGCUAAGAAUUAUUCUUGGAGAGCAAAACUCACAAAAGGUGAUCCUUCAGCAUGGCAUCCCUACUUCACUGAGUGACCUAUCAAAAGAAAUCGAAACACAAUGUAAUCUAAAAGGAUAUUUUAGGCUGCAGUUCAUGGAUCCUGACUUUGACAAUGAGUUUAUGAAUCUCAUGUCCACAUCUGAAAUUCAAGACAAAACUACCCUAAAAGUGGUAUUUCCAACAACACCAAGUGAUCCUGAUAAUGUGCAUACACCACAACUUUAUACAUCUGAAAGUAGGAGCACCUGCUCAUCCCCAGCUCUAUCAAUUUCAUCAUGUGACACAAUGAUUUUUUCAUUGCCAUCUACUUCAGCAAGCUCUGACUGUGUUGCAAGUGUAUCUCCUGAGUCUUCAAGAAUUAAGUCUUCUGCAUGGCCAGCCAUUUUCACUGUUCCCCGUUUUUCAUAUGACGCUGAGCUCAAAUUAGAUCAAGGAAAUGCAGCCUUCAAAACACACGGCACUUUUCUCAGUCCUGACCCAAAGUUGAAAAUAUCAAUAUUAGAUGGGCUUGCUGAAGAAAUUGUGAGAUACAAAGUCUACCCUACAAAUACAGAGUUCAGUCAGGGGGCUGAAGCCCUCAUUGAAAAGCACCCUUGUUUAAAAGAAAGGGGUUCUGCCAAUGGUUACAGCGGAUGGAAAGCAAGUUUAAAGUACAAACUUGCUAACUAUAGAACAAAACUAAGAAACAUUGGCUAUACUGAAGUUACAGUCAACUCGCUCAAGCACAAACCAGCUGGAAUUUCCAGUCCGGCUUACAAUAUAAAAAAACCUCGCAAAGCUGAGGUGAACUACUGCCCUUCACAUCCACUAGGGGAAACACCUGAAACACUUGAAGAAGUCAGAGUAACACUUCUGUCUGAAAUAAAAAAAAAGAACAAUGAGAAAACAUUACGAAUGCUGAUGGACAAGACUUUUUCAAUCAGGAGACAUGAGGUGGUCAAGGAUUCGCCUCCAAUAGCAGAUUUCAAAACUAGAUGGCCUGCUCUUUUCAGAACGGAAGAGAUUUGUGUAGAUUUGAGUUUGAAAGAAUCACAACAAUUCCAUUGGUGUCUACGUACUUUGCGAAGAUGGAUCAAUAUUCUGCUAAACUUAUGAAGAUCUAUGCAAAGCGAGGAGGAGUCAAUGGACAAAGAAUUAAAGACCUGUUGGUUCCCACAAAACGGGAUACAGAUGCACCCAGUACUCAGGAGGCGAUCCAGAAAACUGUGAUGGGAGUGUUUGUUGUAAGAAUUGAAGGUUUCGACAUCGAAGACACCCCAGCAAAUGUUGGAGUGGUAUUGGAGGGAGUGAGAGUUCUUGAGGACCUGAACAACGUAUCAUAUGCGACAGCCAUGCUGAUGGGACUGAUAUAUGCACUGACUUGAGCUACCCUCCUGAACUCAGGUACACCUUUGAAGUACUGCAGAAGUUGUUUCUGGAGCUAGAUGGGAAGAAACUAUCCCAAAAAGUUCAGACCCUGAAGACCAAGCUUUUCUCAGAUGUUAAUGAGUAAACAAUGUAAUUUUUCAGAUGUAAGUGCCAUGUUUCAGAAAAUGGCAGUACAAUUGUUUAAUUAGGUUUAUUAAAAGUGGUUAAAAAUUGUACUUUAAUGGUGCUGAGUGCAUCUAAUUUAUCGGUAGAUGUUAAGGUUUCUAAUGUUAUUAAAGUAAGUUUAACUGUAACUAUCCCACAGUUCCUGAAAAAAAAUGAUGCGAAUAAGUGCAUCUUAUUUGCAGUAAACAUAACAGUUUUGUAAUGUUUUUAGUGAAUUUACAUUCAAUUGUCCAAACUUUGAAAAAGCUUUACAAGUGGUGUGCUAGCUCCCCGAAUGGUGCGGACUGCAUCUUGUUUUGUCUGUAAACAUUACAGUUUUGUAAUGCUAUUACAAUGUUUAGUUGUAAUUAAUUGGUGUUCUUGAAAUAAAACUUUGCAAGCCACCUGAAUGGUGGUGGUGCAUUUCGAUUGUUAGUAAAUGUUAAACAUUUGUAAUG